CCACGGGAGGCAGCAGUGGGGAAUAUUGGACAAUGGGCGAAAGCCUGAUCCAGCCAUGCCGCGUGUGAGAAGAAGGCCUUCGGGUUGUAAAGCACUUUCAGUGGGGAAGAAAGCCUUGGGGCUAAUACCCUCGAGGAAGGACAUCACCCACAGAAGAAGCACCGGCUAACUCCGUGCCAGCAGCCGCGGUAAUACGGAGGGUGCGAGCGUUAAUCGGAAUUACUGGGCGUAAAGCGCGCGUAGGCGGUCUGAUAAGCCGGUUGUGAAAGCCCCGGGCUCAACCUGGGAACGGCAUCCGGAACUGUCAGGCUAGAGUGCAGGAGAGGAAGGUAGAAUUCCCGGUGUAGCAGUGAAAUGCGUAGAGAUCGGGAGGAAUACCAGUGGCGAAGGCGGCCUUCUGGACUGACACUGACGCUGAGGUGCGAAAGCGUGGGUAGCAAACAGGAUUAGAUACCCUGGUAGUC
rnacentral:rRNA from 1 species